UCCGCAAGGGUGGAGUAACGUAGAAGAAAAGAACCGCCCCUCCUCCCGGGGAGAGGGUAAGGGUGAGAAGGUGGGGUAAGAGCCUACCGGCCGCAUGGCGACAUGUCGGGCCGUACGUCUUAGGAGUUGUAAGGUCAUGUAAACCGGCGUUACGAGAGCUGCUCGCUCCAUGUCGGAGGGUAGACCGCUAAAGCGAUGUGGUGACGCACCGCUCAGAUAAAUGACAAGCACCUUAUACUAGUUUGGUACAGAACCCGGCUUACAGGCCGACUGCUUUC
rnacentral:RNase_P_RNA from 1 species